CCUACGGGAGGCAGCAGUGAGGAAUAUUGGUCAAUGGGCGCGAGCCUGAACCAGCCAAGUAGCGUGAAGGAUGACUGCCCUACGGGUUGUAAACUUCUUUUAUAAAGGAAUAAAGUGCGGCACGUGUGCAUUUUUGUAUGUACUUUAUGAAUAAGGAUCGGCUACCUCCGUGCCAGAAGCCGGGGUAAUACGGAGGAGCCGAGCGUUAUCCGGAUUUAUUGGGUUUAAAGGGAGCGUAGAUGGGUUGUUAAGUCAGUUGUGAAAGUUUGCGGCUUAACCUUAAAAUUGCAUUUGAUACUGGCAGUCUUGAGUACAGUUGAGGUAGGCGGAAUUCGUGGUGUAGCGGU
rnacentral:rRNA from 1 species